rnacentral:rRNA from 1 species
UACAGAGGGGGCAAGCGUUAUUCGGAAUUAUUGGGCGUAAAGGGCGCGUAGGCGGCUUUGCAAGUGGCGGGUGAAAUCCCUCGGCUUAACCGAGGAACUGCCUGCCAGACUGUGAGGCUUGAGACCGGGAGAGGUGAGUGGAAUUCCCAGUGUAGCGGUGAAAUGCGUAGAUAUUGGGAGGAACACCAGUGGCGAAGGCGGCUCACUGGACCGGAACUGACGCUGAGACGCGAAAGCGUGGGGGAGCAAACAGGG